rnacentral:lncRNA from 1 species
CUUACCCUGCAAUUUCUGCUAGCCUUCAGGAGGGAUCAGCUGGCACCUUGCAAAUGUUGAGCUUGCACACCAGCUGCAAGUCACUCGGCUACUCUCAGUGACUCACAUCCCUUCUGAGCAAUUCCAGUCCCUCUAGCAGUACUCUGCUUCUGUGAGCACAAAUGAGAGCUAGCUGAGGGAUUCUCCAUGAGGUGGUCAUGUCUGACCUUGCCUUAGACUUGAAGACAGGAUGGAGAGGCUGUGAGUGGUCAGUGGUCAUGCAGGGGGCUGCAGGUACUGAACUGAAGGAUGUGGAAGCCCAUUAUUCAGCCUGUCCCAAAGCAGUGAUGGGGAUGUCCCUUGGCUUUCCUUCAACGAUGUCUCCAAUCAGAAAUAUGGGGAAGAAAUGCAAUAAAGAGGAAGGAAGCGCUUCCUUGCCAAGCAGAAUGAAAUGUCUGUUGAAGAAGAUGCACAAGACAGUGAAGGUUUCUAUCAUCAGAUCUGUACUUGAUGUUACAAGGGACCCACAAGGCACAUAUGACAUUGUCGUGUGCAUGUCUGUUUUCCUUCCUUGGGAACGAAAUAUAGAGUAUUUCAUGAGAAGAAACAAUUUUUUCCUUUGGUGA